rnacentral:rRNA from 1 species
UGAGGAAUAUUGGUCAAUGGGAGGAAUCCUGAACCAGCCAUGGCGCGUGCAGGACGACGGCUCUACGAGUUGUAAACUGCUUUUGUACCGGGGUAAAAUGCUCUACGAGUAGGGUUUUGAAAGUACGGUACGAAUAAGGAUCGGCUAACUCCGUGCC